rnacentral:rRNA from 1 species
CUACGGGAGGCAGCAGUCGCGAAACCUUUACAAUGCACGAAAGUGUGAUAAGGGUAUCCCAAGUGCUUGCUUUCGGGUGGGCUUUUGUCAAGUUUAAAACUCUUGGCGAAUAAGUGGUGGGUAAGACUGGUGCCAGCCGCCGCGGUAACACCAGCGCCACAAGUGGUGAUCAUGUUUAUUGGGUCUAAAGCGUCUGUAGCCGGUCUGGAAAGUCCUUUGUGAAACUGUUGGGCUUAACCCAACAACCUGCAAGGGAUACUGUCAGACUUGAGACCGGGAGGGGGUAGGGGAACUCCUUGGGUAGCGGUAGCAUGUGUUAAUCCUCGGAGGACCACCAAUGGCGAAGGCAUCUAUCUAGAACGGUUCUGACGGUGAGAGACGAAAGCUGAGGGCGCGAUCGGGAUUAGAUACCCUCGUAGUC